ACCGUUGGUUCCAAUUUGUUGCUUGUAGGCUCCGCCACAAGUCUUCCUUUCCUAAAACCGUACCCACCAGUAAGCACCUAAAACCCGCUCCCCGCCUUCACAUGGUAUUCGGACAGCCUUACUGGUGAGGAAAACCUAGCUGUACGAUAAGAAGCUUGACCGAACAGUUUAUUUGAAUACCAUUCGAAGCAUUCGCUCACUCCGACAUUUUACCCACUGUGGUUGAGCUAGGACAACAACCCGUUACACACGAAGUUGACCUAAUCAGUGAACCCCCCAGCAUAGAAGGGCUGCCAACUAUUGAGAAGGGACAUGGUGUCAAACUUCGGCUCUUCACGAAGAUUUAUCUUGAUCAAAGCUAGCAUAAAACGAAUCGAAGAACAUUGGUCGAGUCUCAGUUGCAUUCGACUACCCAAGUGCUUAGUAGUGCGCGCCGUUUAAGGAGUUUAAAAAGUAGUUAAAUUAAAGGAAAAGUUAUUGAAGCUAUUGAAGCUAUUGUGAAGUGCUAUUGUUAAGAAAAGGCUCGUGAUUGUUUUCCGAGCCUUUUCUUUCUUUUUUUGUGGCCACGGGCGAUUCCCGGAGGGCCCAGUUUCGUUCUCAGGACUCCUCAGCGUUUCCAGGGCAAGCCAUAGCCACGCAUACGCCUUCUGGGGGCCGACUAUCCGGUCCACGGACAAAUCGGACACGUAGAACGGUCCAAGGCUGGCCUCUACACUGGCAACACCAUUCGAAGGCCCUAUUGAGUCCCGUGACAAGCGUUUUCGCCAGUAAAAAUCCGUUGGAGGUGCGUAGCUUUCCCAACAGCGUCGUAAAGUUCAGCCACCAACCACACAUCCGUUUGACCCCGUCAGAAGACCGCGCCGGUAGGCCAUAGCCAAACCGGUCGAACCACAGUGAAGGUGAAGCCAAGGUGAAAGCUCCGUUGUAGCACCCGCGUCGUCCAGGACCCCGGAAUGUUCAGACCGGACCUACAGUGACCACGUGUAGUGAUUGCCGCCUCCCAAGCCUACUUUUCCGCCGAUUAUGAUACCACCAAUGCUAGCCAACGUAGUUCGUCGUCAUCUGCCAUCCCGCCGCCAUCUGCCAUCCUGCCGCCCACAUCCAGCCAUGUAACACGCAAGUACAACAUUACGUCUCUCUCUAUUGAAAAAUGCCCAGUGGGCGAAUAAAACUACUAUGUUAAGCUAAA